GACGAACGCUGGCGGCGUGCCUAAUACAUGCAAGUAGAACGCUGAAGAGAGGAGCUUGCUCUUCUUGGAUGAGUUGCGAACGGGUGAGUAACGCGUAGGUAACCUGCCUUGUAGCGGGGGAUAACUAUUGGAAACGAUAGCUAAUACCGCAUAACAAUGGAUGACACAUGUCAUUUAUUUGAAAGGGGCAAUUGCUCCACUACAAGAUGGACCUGCGUUGUAUUAGCUAGUAGGUGAGGUAAUGGCUCACCUAGGCGACGAUACAUAGCCGACCUGAGAGGGUGAUCGGCCACACUGGGACUGAGACACGGCCCAGACUCCUACGGGAGGCAGCAGUAGGGAAUCUUCGGCAAUGGGGGCAACCCUGACCGAGCAACGCCGCGUGAGUGAAGAAGGUUUUCGGAUCGUAAAGCUCGGUUGUAAGUCAAGAACGGGUGUGAGAGUGGAAAGUUCACACUGUGACGGUAGCUUACCAGAAAGAGACGGCUAACUACGUG
rnacentral:rRNA from 1 species